UAGUCUUUAGUUUAUAAUUUAAAAUGUGGGCUUUGUAAGCCUAGGAGAGGUGGUUUCACUAAGAUUAG
rnacentral:tRNA from 1 species